AACGUAGGUACCGAGCGUUAUCCGGAUUUACUGGGCGUAAAGCGUGUUCAGGCGGCCUGGCAAGUCGGGCAUGAAAUCUCUCGGCUCAACCGGGAGAGGCUGUCCGAUACUGCUGGGCUUGAGGACGGUAGAGGGUGGUGGAAUUCCGCGUGUAGUGGUGAAAUGCGUAGAUAUCGGGAGGAACACCCGCGGUGUAGACGGCCUGCUGGACCACGACUGACGCUGAGGCACGAAAGCGUGGGGAGCAAACAGG
rnacentral:rRNA from 1 species